UCGAAUAUUUAACUGUAUAAAUUAUUUACGACCAUUCUUUGACACGGAUUGCAGUGUUUUCACAUCUCGUAUCCAAUUGAAUAAGCCUUUACAGCAAGCAUGCGAUCUGUAAUGAUUUUUGCUUUAUUAUUCUUACUGGUCAUCAAUAUUAGUGGUGAAGAACAGCAAUUGUCAGAUUUAGAAGGUGAAGCUGUCGGACAAGACGUAAAUGAUGUUCGAGCAGCAAAUUUGCCGGGACGACAAUUUGUAGAUAGGAUGGGCCAUCUCUUUGGCAGGUGAACAUAAACUAAACAACGAAUGGAUCAGUCUAUCUCCUGUUGGAAGACAUCAUCAGUGAAAUAGUCAAAGAUAAUAUAAUAGUGUGUUAUGUGCUUCUAUUUAGUUAUAAUUUAAUUAUGAGAUCAAUAGAAUAAAUCCUAUGAACAUUGACAAACACA